UGUGAAUUUUGUUCUUCAAAAGGAUGGAGUUCGACAUGCUAGGGAUGUGUAUAAGCGCUUUCUAGCUUUACCGCACCCUGGGCUUGCUAUAUAUAGGACCUGCAUUGAAUUGGAAUCAAACCUUGCAUCCAAUGGCGAUAAAGAUAGUCUUGUUAAUGCCCGAAAGUUAUAU